CACCUAAAUACAUUUCCUAUCAGU
rnacentral:siRNA from 1 species